AAGUUCGUUAUGGCUCAGAUUGAACGCUGGCGGGAUGCUUUACAUGCAAGUCAGACGGCAGCACGGACUUCGGUCUGGUGGCGAGUGGCAGGCAGGUGAGUAAUGUAUCGGAACGUGCUAGUAGCGGGGAUAACUACGCGAAAGCGUAGCUAAUACCAUACGCCCUUCGGGAAAGCGGGGGACCUUCGGGCCUCGCACUAUUAGAGCGGCCGAUAUCGGAUUAGCUAGUUGGUGGGGUAA
rnacentral:misc_RNA from 1 species